AACGAACGCUGGCGGCAUGCCUAACACAUGCAAGUCGAACGAACCCUUCGGGGUUAGUGGCGCACGGGUGCGUAACGCGUGGGAACCUGCCUUUUGGUUCGGAAUAACAGUGAGAAAUUACUGCUAAUACCGGAUAAUGUCUUCGGACCAAAGAUUUAUCGCCAUUAGAUGGGCCCGCGUAAGAUUAGCUAGUUGGUGGGGUAAAGGCCUACCAAGGCGACGAUCUUUAGCUGGUCUGAGAGGAUGAUCAGCCACACUGGGACUGAGACACGGCCCAGACUCCUACGGGAGGCAGCAGUGGGGAAUAUUGGACAAUGGGCGAAAGCCUGAUCCAGCAAUGCCGCGUGAGUGAUGAAGGCCUUAGGGUUGUAAAGCUCUUUUACCCGAGAUGAUAAUGACAGUAUCGGGAGAAUAAGCUCCGGCUAAACUCCGUGCCAGCAGCCGCGGUAAU
rnacentral:rRNA from 1 species